UACGGGGGGGGUAAGCGUUGUUCGGAAUUACUGGGCGUAAAGGGCUCGUAGGCGGGCAACUAAGUCGGACGUGAAAUCCCUCAGCUUAACUGGGGAACUGCGUCCGAUACUGGAUGGCUUGGAUUUGGGAGAGGGAUGCGGAAUUCCAGGUGUAGCGGUGAAAUGCGUAGAUAUCUGGAGGAACACCGGUGGCGAAGGCGGCAUCCUGGACCAAUAUUGACGCUGAGGAGCGAAAGCCAGGGGAGCAAACGGG
rnacentral:rRNA from 1 species